rnacentral:rRNA from 1 species
UACGUAGGGUGCAAGCGUUAAUCGGAAUUACUGGGCGUAAAGCGUGCGCAGGCGGCUUUGCAAGACAGAUGUGAAAUCCCCAGGCUUAACCUGGGAACUGCGUCUGAUACUGGAUGGCUUGAAUUCGGGAGAGGGAUGCAGAAUUCCAGGUGUAGCGGUGAAAUGCGUAGAUAUCUGGAGGAAUACCGGUGGCGAAGGCGGCAUCCUGGACCGAGAUUGACACUGAUGAGCGAAAGCCAGGGGAGCAAACGGG